UACGUAGGUGGCAAGCGUUGUCCGGAUUUACUGGGUGUAAAGGGCGUGCAGCCGGAGAGACAAGUCAGAUGUGAAAUCCACGGGCUCAACCCGUGAACUGCAUUUGAAACUGUUUCCCUUGAGUGUCGGAGAGGUAAUCGGAAUUCCUGGUGUAGCGGUGAAAUGCGUAGAGAUCAUACAGAACACCGAUUGCGAAGGCAGCUUACCAAACUAUAUCUGACGUUGAGGCACGAAAGCGUGGGGAGCAAACAGG
rnacentral:rRNA from 1 species